rnacentral:rRNA from 1 species
GCAUCGAUGAAGAACGCAGCGAAAUGCGAUAAGUAAUGUGAAUUGCAGAAUUCAGUGAAUCAUCGAAUCUUUGAACGCACAUUGCGCUCCCUGGUAUUCCGAGGAGCAUGCCUGUUUGAGUGUCGUGUAAUUCUCAACCUAUAAAUCCUUGUGGUUUUUAGGCUUGGACUUGGAGGCUUUUGCUGGCUUUACCGUCGGCUCCUCUUAAACGCAUUAGCUUGAUUCCUUGCGGAUCGGCUCUCAGUGUGAUAAUUAUCUGCGCUGUGACCGUGAAGCGUUUGGCGAGCUUCUAACCGUCUCUUCGAGACAAACACUUUGACAUCUGACCUCAAAUCAGGUAGGACUACCCGCUGAACUUAAGCAUAUCAAUAAGCGGAGGA